AUGUGCUCAAGUUUGGACGCCAGAGAGGAAUAACCAGAUUCCUCGAGCUUCUCUUGAAGCUGAAACACAAAAACAGUUAUCAGGCGUCGUCGGCGGGGUUACUAGGUGAUAGGAUUGUGACGUGUCUUCACGUGCAACAAUACAUUCAGAAUCUUGUUUAGAAUCUAAUUCUUUCGCGAGCUGUCAAUGGUUCGCAAAAAAGUAAAAUCGAGCAUGUUUCCAAUAAGUUGAAGAGAGCUGACGGGAACUUGUGACAAAUCAUUAGAAUAUCAUAUAGCACGCGGCUAAUUGGUUAACGAAAUUCAAGACGUCACAAUUGUAACUUCCAAAGCUCUAGCCUGCACAGAAAGCGCAAGUGGCCGAGGAAAAGAAGACGAGGCCGAGCGCUACAGGGGGUAAGGUGGAAUUAAAGACCUUCUGCCCUCUCUUUCUGUUUUCCUUUCCCUUCGCCAUAUGGCGCUUGGCGAUCUCCUUUACACCCCAGCGCUUCUUAUGAUUCUUACCUGAUCCUGAUAUUUGGUGGCGUAGUUGAAGAGUUCUUUGAGUGCAUUAUCCGCAUUGAAUUCACUGCUGUAUUGCUGUAAGACAUUCGAUACAAAAAGCGUCAGCAAUUUGAGAACGUCCUCUUCCCAAGUUUGUAUGUGCAUGGAUGUCUUGGGCUGGCCCUUUCCCUCGAUAAGGGUUGUCAGUUGUUUUUAUCAUAUCAUUUUGUAUAAGUUUUUAUAUCGUAUCUGGGAGCCAAUCGUGUUUUAGUUUGUACAACUAUUAUGUGCUGCCCGCGUUAAAAUAAAAUUCACCAUGAUCAUUAUUAUCAUCAUGGGAAUCAUGAUCAUUAUUAUCAUCAUUAUUUUUUCAUAAUUUUAAUAUUAAAAUAUCUUCUUUAUAAUUACUAGCAUAAGAAUUCAGAUAAUACGGAUGUUAUUAAAGAACUUUUCUAUAUCA